ACAGCACAGUAUGGUGCAGUACAGUACAGUAUGGUACAGUACAGUACAUGAAAUGUUUGGUCUUAUUUUAAUUUAUUUUUUUUAAGAAGACAAAGUCAUAACUUUUCGAUAUCUGUUAUUAAUAUUUUUUAACAACGACCCGUGACGGUAGGAGACAGAUAUGAGGAAUAAAUGAAAAUGAAGUAUUUAUGGAAUAAUUUUAUGCUGUACAAAUUAGCCAAUAUUAUACCAGAUGUCAGAAGACUCUUAAAAGGCAUCGCUCUGGCAUCAGAUGCAAAAUAACUCUCUCUAUAACUCAUAAGAAUAAUUAUUUUAUUUUACACUUAGUUUGAGAUCAAAUAUUCAUCAAAACAUACUUUGUCAUGAUCUUUGUUUUCAGUUAAAACAAAGAAAAUUGUACCUUCAAUCACUUUGUUUGUGACUUGAUGUAAGAGACAUACAGUACAGUAAGCCCUCCAGCAUGUGAGGGGAAUCCAUGUUGGAGGACCUUAAUAUUUAAUGAGCUUAUUGGAAAUUGAGAACGCCAUCACAAAUUCUCAUUGGCUGACUCACAGACGUGUGGCCACCGUCGCGCCGUGCUGGCUGUGUCUCUGCCGUGAUGUCACAUCGAGAGGGAGUGGCAGUCACACAGUUACAUUAAGCCAAAACCCACCGCCUCAACACAUACAGUACACGCUCAUGUUCUUUAUUUUUCUUACUUUUUAGUUUUAUAUUAUACUUUAUUUCUGAGCCACAUUAGAGUACAGUAUUGUAAUGAUUUUUCCACAACUUUUAUGGUUUCAUUACAAGUAACACUAUACGAGGCUGUUGAGUCUGUCACUUGGCUAUAACCGCUCCCACGCGCUCACUUCUCACACGUGCACACCCUUGCUCAUCAUUUUUAUUGUUUUGCAUUACAUCUUAUUGAUUUUAAACUACAUUAGAGUAUUGUGAUUAUUUUUCCACAAUGUUUAUGGUUUCAUUGCUAGUUAACAACAUACGAGGUGGGUAGACUACCGCUGCUGCACCCUUGCCACUGUGUUACUUAUAAAAAAAAUAAUAAAUUUCUCUACUAAUAUCAUCACUUUACAGCUCUUCUCUACUCCAGCAUCACUUGGAGAUAAGCUUCCAAGACAACACAAGUCACCCAACCUGUCAUGACAGGUUCAUAUCAAAAUUUACCUUGGGAAUUAGGCAGUGGCAACACCUGGCAAAUUAUUCAGAAUUUUGAAUUAAUAGCUAAAUGCCAAGUUAAUGAGGGUUGAGUUUAUAUGUACAUAGAGUACAACAAAUCCUGUUUACACGGAGGUUAGAUUUCUGGAGAAAAAAGUGGAUAUGCAUAAUAAAUACCUUGGGUGUCUGGGCUGGGUGUCAUGACUGACCACAAGAAAGGUAAAUCAGUAUAGAUGUAGCCCAUUAUAGAUGAAUGUCCCCCAUCACUUUAGUUUUCUUCUAAAGAUACCUUUCUCUGUACUUUCAUAACAUUAUACAAGAAAUAACCUUUCCAUCGCUACUAUACAUGGCACUCUAAAAAUAAGAACAAAAAAAAAUAGUAAUGUUUAACUCUUAUUUUAAUUUUACACAUACAGUACUACCGAACUGUACUGAUGUGGGAGGCCUGGUGGGGCCAGGGAGCAGGUGUUCAUACAGUGAAAGCAUGUGUGAGGUUGUGAAGGAGCAGCCAGGGUAUACAAGGAGUGAACAAUACAAACUCUGGCAAGAAAAACCAUAAAUUUGGUGAUGAUUUAUUGAGAGGUGGGGGCUGUUCUUCUCAGCCUUGCAUCAACUGACACAUCUCUGAGCAUCAAGAAGUCAUCAUUGGUUUUAGCUCAGCUGAAGUAAUUCACAUAUGCAAUUUAAAUUGCUUUUGUACGAUAACAUUGUGGAAAAAAACAAGUUGCAAUAAUCAAAUAAUUUGGUCAUACAAAUUGAACUGGUAAAAGAAAAAAAAAAUGAGAAUUUGCACCAAAUGUGGACUACCUGGGCACUAUCUCUUGUUCUUUUUGGUUAACAGUUUUCAUUUAUAUUGUUAACACUUUAAAGUCACAAGUUACCAACAUCUACACCUUGAACCUCACACACUAUUGUACUGUACUCUAGGCCAUUUACUGCUUCUUGUUGUUGUUACUUGUUUUAUCAUUUAUGGUCACUUAAAAUUUGCAGUUGUAACUUCCCCUCAUAAUAUUUUUGACUGUACUGUAACUUGUUUGUUGUCACACAUACAGUUUAUUUUUGUAUUAGAGACAUAUACGUACAUAGAGAUCCUGGGCCAUUUUGACCCCCAUCAAAUAGCAGUAGCCUUGGGUGGUGCUGGUGUUGGCCCUUUGUUCACUCAUCAGCUGCCACAUCUUACACAUACAUGAAUGGCUAUCAUCCCACAGGAGAACCAAAAUAACACAUUAUCAUCUACCAUAUGCAUGUCAUUUAGGUUCCUGAUAUGGUCCACAGGAGCCAACUGGUACCCAUUAUAUUGUUACAUCCUCAUUCACUUUAUUAUUACAUUGUUUGUGUGAAGGAGAGAUCCGAGCUAUACUUCAUCUAACUGAUUGGCUUGGCUUUCAAUUUGUAACAUAUUUGUUAUGGUACAAUACAGUAUACUGUACAGUACUCUUAGUUUUAGGAGUGGGUAAACAUCAUCUCUCAACUCAUAUCAACUGGUAAAUUUGAACGAGUGUUUACAGUGAACACCUUUAAUGUGUCCCCUAACUUUUGUUCUCUCAACAUAUCCAGUAGAGUACUGUACAGUAGUCUCAGCCUUGAUAUUGUUUCUGGGUGUACUACUGUAUUUAUGAUUUAUCUUUAGUCAACCAGGUAAUUGUGUUUGUACAUCCCCUCUUACCAAGAAUAACUUACCAUGGAUCCUGGGCGGGCAGUGUACUGUGCUGUGCUGUACUGUACUGUGCUGUACUGUGCUGUGCUGCACUGUACUGUACUGUUGUUGUCAUAGAAUAAAAUAAAAAUUAAAUCAUUAAAGUGAGAGGUGUGGUGAGGUGCAGUGAUGUCACAGGGUAGAGGUUAGGUACAGUGAUGUCACAACAGGUGAGUGUGAGGUACAGUGAUGUCACAGGUUUGAGGUAUGGGUGAGGUACAGUGAUGUCACAACAGGUUAGAGUGUGAAUAAGGUACAGUAAUGUCACAGGAUAGAGGUAUGGGUGAAGUACAGUGAUGUCACAGAGUAGAGGUGAGGUACAGUGAUGUCACAGGGUAGAGGUGAGGUACAGUGAUGUCACAGGGUAGAGGAGUGGGUGAGGUACAGUGAUGUCACAGGGUAGAGGUGUGGUUGAGGUACAGUGAUGUCACAGGAUAGAGGUAUGGGUGAGGUACAGUGAUGUCACAGGUUAGAGGAGUGGGUGAGGUACAGUGAUGUCACAGGUUAGAGGUGUGGGUGAGGUACAGUGAUGUCACAGGUUAAGAGUGGGUGAAGUACCAUGAUGUCACAGGGUAGAGAGUGGGUGAGGUACAGUGAUGUCACAGGUUAGAGGAGUGGGUGAGGUACAGUGAUGUCACAGCAGGUGAGGUACAGUGAUGUCACAGGUUAAGAGUGGGUGAAGUACAGUGAUGUCACAGGGUAGGGAGUGGGUGAGGUACAGUGAUGUCACAACAGGUUAGAGUGUGAAUAAGGUACAGUGAUGUCACAGGAUAGAGGUGUGGUUGAGGUACAGUGAUGUCACAGGAUAGAGGUGUGGUUGAGGUACAGUGAUGUCACAGGAGGAGGUGUGGGUGAGGUACAGUGAUGUCACAGGAUAGAGGUGUGGUUGAGGUACAGCGAUGUCACAGGAUAGAGGUGUGGUUGAGGUACAGUGAUGUCACAGCAGGUGAGGUACAGUGAUGUCACAGGUUAAGAGUGGGUGAAGUACCAUGAUGUCACAGGGUAGAGGAGUGGGUGAGGUACAGUGAUGUCACAGGUUAGAGGUGGGUGAGGUACAGAUGUCACAUGGUAGAGGUGAGAGGUGAGGUACAGUGAUGUCACAUGGUAGAGGAGGUGAGAGGUGAGGUACAGUGAUGUCACAUGGUAGAGGUGAGAGGUGAGGUACAGUGAUGUCACAUGGUAGAGGUGGUGAUAU
rnacentral:lncRNA from 1 species